rnacentral:misc_RNA from 1 species
GAUGAAGAACGCAGCGAAAUGCGAUAAGUAAUGUGAAUUGCAGAAUUCAGUGAAUCAUCGAAUCUUUGAACGCACAUUGCGCCCGCCAGUAUUCUGGCGGGCAUGCCUGUUCGAGCGUCAUUUCAACCAUCAAGCCCCCGGCUUGUGUUGGGGACCUGCGGCUGCCGCAGGCCCUUAAAAGCAGUGGCGGGCUCGCUGUCACACCGAGCGUAGUAGCAUACAUCUCGCUCUGGGCGUGCUGCGGGUUCCGGCCGUUAAACCACCUUCAUAACCCAAGGUUGACCUCGGAUCAGGUAGGAAGACCCGCUGAACUUAAGCAUAUCAAUAAGCGGAGGA